rnacentral:rRNA from 1 species
AUCAACGCUGGCGGCGUGCCUAACACAUGCAAGUCGAACGCGAAAGUCCCGCAAGGGGAUCAGUAGAGUGGCAAACGGGUGAGUAACGCGUGGGUGACCUGCCUUCGAGCGGGGGAUAACGUUCCGAAAGGGACGCUAAUACCGCAUAACAUCCUGCCUUUGAAGAGGUGGAGAGUCAAAAGCUGGGGGAUCGCAAGACCUAGCACUUGAAGAGGGGCCCGCGUCCGAUUAGCGUAGUUGGGAGGUAACGGACUCACCAAGGCAACGAUCGGUAGCCGGCCUGAGAGGGCGGACGGGCCACACUGGGACUGAGACACGGCCCAGACUCCUACGGGAGGCAGCAGUGGGGAAUCUUGCGCAAUGGGCGAAAGCCUGACGCAGCGACGCCGCGU